GCCCACAUAGCUCAGUCGGUAGAGCACUUCCUUGGUAAGGAAGAGGUGACCGGUUCGAUUCCGGUUGUGGGCU
rnacentral:tRNA from 1 species